GACCUCGGAUCAGGUAGGGAUACCCGCUGAACUUAAGCAUAUCAAUAAGCGGAGGAAAAGAAACCAACAGGGAUUGCCCUAGUAACGGCGAGUGAAGCGGCAACAGCUCAAAUUUGAAAUCUGGCGCAAGCCCGAGUUGUAAUUUGUAGAGGAUGCUUCGGCGUCGGCCCCGUUCUAAGUUCCUUGGAACAGGACGUCCUAGAGGGUGAGAACCCCGUCUUCGAUCGGGUCGCCGUCGCCAUGUGAAGCUCCUUCGACGAGUCGAGUUGUUUGGGAAUGCAGCUCUAAGCGGGAGGUAAAUUUCUUCUAAAGCUAAAUAACGGCCAGAGACCGAUAGCGCACAAGUAGAGUGAUCGAAAGAUGAAAAGCACUUUGGAAAGAGAGUUAAAAAGUACGUGAAAUUGUUGAAAGGGAAGCUCAAGCUGCCAGACUUGGCCGCGCCUCUUCGGUGGCGCGGGCAGGCCAGCAUCAGUCCGGGCGGCCUGAUAAAGACCUUUGGAAUGUAGCUCCCUCGGGAGUGUUAUAGCCUUGGGUGUAAUGGGGUCAGCCUGGACUGAGGAUCGCGUUCGCUAGGAUGCUGGCGUAAUGGCAGUUUGCGACCCGUCUUGUAACACGGACCAAGGAGUCUAACAUCUGUGCGAGUGUUU
rnacentral:rRNA from 1 species